AGUCGAGGGGUAAGUUCUUCGGAACUAGAGACCGGCGCACGGGUGCGUAACGCGUAUGCAAUCUACCUUUUACAGAGGGAUAGCCCAGAGAAAUUUGGAUUAAUACCUCAUAGUAUGCAGAGUUGGCAUCAACAUUGCAUUAAAGUCACAACGGUAAAAGAUGAGCAUGCGUCCCAUUAGCUAGUUGGUAAGGUAACGGCUUACCAAGGCGACGAUGGGUAGGGGUCCUGAGAGGGAGAUCCCCCACACUGGUACUGAGACACGGACCAGACUCCUACGGGAGGCAGCAGUGAGGAAUAUUGGUCAAUGGACGCAAGUCUGAACCAGCCAUGCCGCGUGCAGGAUGACGGUCCUAUGGAUUGUAAACUGCUUUUGUACGAGAAGAAACCCUCCAACGUGUUGGAGCUUGACGGUAUCGUAAGAAUAAGGAUCGGCUAACUCCGUGCCAGCAGCCGCGGUAAUACGGAGGAUCCAAGCGUUAUCCGGAAUCAUUGGGUUUAAAGGGUCCGUAGGCGGUUUAGUAAGUCAGUGGUGAAAGCCCAUCGCUCAACGGUGGAACGGCCAUUGAUACUGCUAGACUUGAAUUAUUAGGAAGUAACUAGAAUAUGUAGUGUAGCGGUGAAAUGCUUAGAGAUUACAUGGAAUACCAAUUGCGAAGGCAGGUUACUACUAAUGGAUUGACGCUGAUGGACGAAAGCGUGGGUAGCGAACAGGAUUAGAUACCCUGGUAGUCCACGCCGUANACGAUGGAUACUAGCUGUUGGGAGCAAUCUCAGUGGCUAAGCGAAAGUGAUAAGUAUCCCACCUGGGGAGUACGUUUCGCAGAAAUGAACUCAAAGGAAUUGA
rnacentral:rRNA from 1 species